rnacentral:rRNA from 1 species
AACGAACGCUGGCGGCAGGCCUAACACAUGCAAGUCGAACGUGAAGCCACCUUCGGGUGGUGGAAAGUGGCAGACGGGUGAGUAACGCGUGGGAACGUGCCUUUCGGUUCGGAAUAACUCAGGGAAACUUGGGCUAAUACCGGAUACGCCCUUCGGGGGAAAGAUUCAUCGCCGAAAGAUCGGCCCGCGUCGGAUUAGCUUGUUGGUGGGGUAAAAGCCCACCAAGGCGACGAUCCGUAGCUGGUCUGAGAGGAUGAUCAGCCACACUGGGACUGAGACACGGCCCAGACUCCUACGGGAGGCAGCAGUGGGGAAUAUUGGGACAAUGGGCGCAAGCCUGAUCCAGCCAUGCCGCGUGGGUGAAGAAGGCCCUAGGGUUGUAAAUCCCUUUCAGCGGGGAAGAUAAUGACGGUACCCGCAGAAGAAGCCCCGGCUAACUCCGUG